GACGAACGCUGGCGGCGUGCUUAACACAUGCAAGUCGAACGGAAAGGCCCUGCUUUUGUGGGGUGCUCGAGUGGCGAACGGGUGAGUAACAAGCGAGUAACCUGCCCUUGACUUUGGGAUAACUUCAGGAAACUGGGGCUAAUACCGGAUAUGAGCUCCUGCUGCAUGGUGGGGGUUGGAAAGGUUCGGCGGUUGGGGAUGGGCUCGCGGCUUAUCGGCUUGUUGGUGGGGUCGUGGCUUACCAAGGCUUUGACGGGUAGCGGGCCUGAGGGGGUGACCGGCCACAUUGGGACUGAGCUCCCGCCCAGACUCCUACGGGAGGCAGCAGUGGGGAAUAUUGCACAAUGGGCGGAAGCCUGAUGCAGCAACGCCGCGUGCGGGAUGACGGCCUUCGGGUUGUAAACCGCUUUCGCCUGUGACGAAGCGUGAGUGACGGUAAUGGGUAGAGAAGCACCGGCUAACUACGUG
rnacentral:rRNA from 1 species